GACGAACGCUGGCGGCGUGCUUAACACAUGCAAGUCGAACGAAGUGGCGAACGGGUGAGUAACGCGUAAUCAACCUGCCCUUCAGAGGGGGACCACAGUUGGAAACGACUGCUAAUCCCGCAUACUUCAGGAGGGGUUUGCGUCUGAUUCGCUCGUUGGCGGGGUAACGGCCCACCAAGGCGAUGAUCAGAAGCCGGUCUGAGAGAAUGAACGGCAAAAGUGGGACAGAGACACGGCCCAGACUCUUACGGGAGGCAGCAGUGGGGAAUCUUCCGCAAUGGAGGAAAGUCUGACGGAGCAACGCCGCGGGAGUGAUGACGGCCUUCGGGUUGUAAAGCUAUGUUAAUCGGGACGCGGUACCGGAAUAGAAAGCCACGGCUAACUACGUGCCAGCAGCCGCGGUAAUUC
rnacentral:rRNA from 1 species